rnacentral:lncRNA from 1 species
CCCGACCCCAGCCCGGGGGUGGGCACGCACUGCUGGGGAGCCUGCGUGCUGACAGAGGCCGGCACCCUCCAAGCAGGCCUUGUUCCCUACAGGCAGCAGCAUCAGCUGGAGCUGGAGGCAGCCCACGUGCCUGGGGCUGUGCUGCCGAAGCUGGUGGAGGCAGAGCUGGUAAGGGGCAGAGCCCAGCGCACCCUCACCCUGUCCGACAAGGUUCUCCUCGGGGACAGGGCUCCCUGCAGUGCUGGGGCUGCCACUGUCCUGCACGAGCCCCGGCUGUGCAGCAGGGCCUGACCAGCACCCCUGCCC